AGGAUGAACGCUGGCGGCGUGCUUAACACAUGCAAGUCGAACGAUGAAGCAGAGCUUGCUCUGUGGAUUAGUGGCGAACGGGUGAGUAACACGUGAGUAACCUGCCCUUGACUCUGGAAUAAGCGUUGGAAGCGACGUCUAAUACCGGAUACGAGCUUCCGCCGCAUGGUGAGGAGCUGGAAAGAAUUUCGGCAAGGAUGGACUCGCGGCCUAUCAGGUAGUUGGUGAGGUAAUGGCUCACCAAGCCUACGGCGGGUAGCCGGCCUGAGGACGGGUGACCGGCCACGACGUGGGACUGAGACACGGCCAGACUCUACGGGAGCAGCAGUGGGAAUUUGGACAAGUGGGCGCAAGGCCUGAUCCAGCCAUCGCCGCGUCGCGGGAAGAGGCCGUUCGGUUCGUAAACCGCGUUUGGCGAGGAACGAACGGCGCGAGCGAAGUAUC
rnacentral:rRNA from 1 species